CAAGUUCUGGCCAAGCGCUCACCAUUCUGCAGAAUAAGGAUCAGAACUUUACAGAGGUAAACUGUGUCUGUUCUUUUUACUAUUACAGCAGUUCAUCGUGGCCCUGUCAUUCGCCUCCUUCACCUAAGCUCUGUCAGGGACCUACAUGAAGAGUGCCAUCACUCAGAGAGACACUUUGACCUGUCCAGCUCUCUCAUCGGACUCAUAGACGGCAGCUUUGAGAUGGGUAACCUGCUGUUCCUGGCUGUGGUCAGCCAUUUUGGGGCGAAGCUGCAC